CCAUUGGCGGACCUAUAUGGGGGCUAGGGGGGGCCUUGGCCCCCCCAACCUCCAAAAUUUCCCCCCCCCAAAAAAAAAAAAAAAAAUCUAUAUAUAUAUAUAUAUAAAAUUUUACCCUAAAUUUUGUUUAUUUUUUUAGUUUGCCCCCCCAAAAUUUUCUUCUUUCAAUUUGGCCCCCCAUAUUUAUAAGGUUGGGUCCGCCACUGAUCUCCUCCCUCAACUUCGCCGUCGACGGGCUCCAUCUCUGUCCAGCUCCAUCGCCACUUUUCCCCUCAAAAACCUCACUCUCUCGAUCUCCUCCCUCGACGCCCCCGUCGACGGGCUCCAUCUCCGGCCGUUCAUCUCCACGCCACCGUUGAUCAGCUCCAUCUUCGGUCGUUCAAUCUCCACGUCCAGAUAAUUAGAUGUCGUCGAAUUGGUCAUCAUUGGGAAAAUGGCAAUGAAGAUAUUAAUGGACGAAGAAAAAUCAAGGAAGACAGUUCUUUGGAUGCCCUCAAUACGGCAAAGGCCAACAUUGCAAUUAUUUUGAAUAGUUUGAACCACGCAUUUCUGAACAUAGCGGCAAGCUUGUAAACGAAAUGAGGGUGAUGAUUAAGACCAUGAAAGAACUUUGUAAACAUGCAAAAAAAAAAAAAAAAAAGAGGAGCCAUCAAAAUGUCCUUUGUGUCAUGGGGAUUAAUGCUUUUUGUUCUAUGUAAUUAGUUGUAAUUUUAUUUCUUUAACCUUAAAGAUGUAGAAUGGAUUAUCUUCAGAAUUGUUUUUUGUUUUGUCGUCCAUGAAGAACAAUUUGAAGCCAUAAUCUCAUUAUUUGGAUGCUUAAUUGAGCAAAUUGUUAUGUGAGUUUGUAAUUUGAUUGCAAAUUUUAUUUUGCUGUAAAAAUGCUUUUAUUGCAAACUGUAUUGCUGCUAUGGGUUUGGUUUCACGGUCAGGGAGAUCUAAAAGAGACAACCAUGACAACACAUUCACAGCCAGAGGUAUCUAGUGGUUCAGAUCAUGAAGGAACCAACUCUUGUUCAGAUUUGAUGGAAUAAACUGAUUGAUGCAAUGCUUCUCAAGGACUCAUCUUAUUUUCCUUUGUAAAUCCUGUAUUUUUUUUUCCACAAGAUGUAGAUAUGUGGCUGUAGCUUUACCUUUUUUAAUUUGUAACUAAUGGAAAAUCCCAACAUUUGUUGUUCUCGUUUUUGCCCCAGUUGUACUAGUCCUUGAUUAGAAUUUGAAUGAAAAUUGGAUUUUGUUUUGGCAGCAAA